GUAGAAAAGUGAGCGGAGGAACUGAGGGUAGCGGAGAAAUUCCAAUCGAACUUGGAGAUAGCUGGUUCUCUCCGAAAUAGCUUUAGGGCUAGCCUCAAGUGAUGAUUAUUGGAGGUAGAGCACUGUUUGGACGAGGGGCCCCUCUCGGGUUACCGAAUUCAGACAAACUCCGAAUGCCAAUUAAUUUAACUUGGGAGUCAGAACAUGGGUGAUAAGGUCCGUGUUCGAAAGGGAAACAGCCCAGACCACCAGCUAAGGUCCCAAAAUAUAUGUUAAGUGGAAAAGGAUGUGGCGUUGCCCAGACAACUAGGAUGUUGGCUUAGAAGCAGCCAUCAUUUAAAGAGUGCGUAAUAGCUCACUAGUCGAGUGACACUGCGCCGAAAAUGUACCGGGGCUAAACAUAUUACCGAAGCUGUGGAUUGUCCUUUGGACAAUGGUAGGAGAGCGUUCUAAGGGCGUCGAAGCAUGAUCGCAAGGACAUGUGGAGCGCUUAGAAGUGAGAAUGCCGGUGUGAGUAG
rnacentral:rRNA from 1 species